UUUAAAUACUCACCUAUUAGAGUGCUCUGUCUGCUUUUUAUUCUUGAUAUACUUUUAUUGUUCUUUUAUCCAGUCAUUUAAAGCUUACUUAAGUUACACAACAAGGUUUGGUGAAGAUAGCCGUGCAAACGAAUGUGCCAUCGUCUUUUGUAAAGUAAACAAACAGCUCAAAUAGUUUCAACACCUGCACCGUUCAACUUUUGAAGUAGAAACGUGGAUGUGGGACGGAUGAAUGAAGUGGCCAAAUUAUGCUUCACCUCAUGGAGUGUCCAUGUCAAUGACCGACCAAUUACUCAACUAAGUGAGACCACUUUUCUUCACCUUGACCAAAAUUAAAUUCAGUCCCACUCCAGACGCUGAAGGUGAUCUGGAGGCCGUCAAACAGCUUGAGUUUUCAGCGUGACUCGUGCACCACUGAAACAAGACCGCAUUUCAAUGAAGCCCAGACAUGUUUAUAAAAAGGCCGUCACGGUGGCGCAGGGGGUAGCACGAUCACCUCACAGCAAGAAGAUCGCUGAUUUGUGCCUCGACUUGUCAGUUGACAUUUCUGUGUGGGGUUUGCAUGUUCUCCCGAUGUUCACAUGGGUUUCCUCCAGGUGCUCCGGUUUCCCCUACAAGUCCAAAGACAUGCGCUAUAG
ensembl:processed_transcript